UGUUUGGAGAGUUUGAUUCUGGCUCAGGACGAACGCUGGCGGCGUGCUUAACACAUGCAAGUCGAACGGAAAGGCCCCUUUGGGGGUACUCGAGUGGCGAACGGGUGAGUAACACGUGGGUGAUCUGCCCUGCACUUCGGGAUAAGCUUGGGAAACUGGGUCUAAUACCGGAUAUGACCAUUCACUGCAUGGUGGGUGGUGGAAAGCUUUUGCGGUGUGGGAUGGGCCCGCGGCCUAUCAGCUUGUUGGUGAGGUUAUGGCUUACCAAGGCGACGACGGGUAGCCGGCCUGAGAGGGUGUCCGGCCACACUGGGACUGAGAUACGGCCCAGACUCCUAC
rnacentral:rRNA from 1 species